rnacentral:lncRNA from 1 species
AGUUCCAUCAAUUUAGGUAAAUGUGCCCUCGGUACUGGAAUCGGUCUUAGAUUCCAAGGUACAUGCGGUACAGUGAAGAUAACCAUAGGUGUUAUAAUAUUUGGAUCCACACACCCAAUUUCAUGAGAUUCGAAAGCAAACGAUCUACCUUGUUUAGCCAACAUCUUUUUGAAGCAAGUAAUUUCUUCCGGCAAUAAAGAACCAUCAGAACCAAUCUUCAAUUCUUCAAAAGUCUCUUCAGUAAACUGAUGUCCAAUAUUCAUUGGAUCUCUUAAACUUGCUUCUUUUGAUGCUUCUCCCAUUUUUUCUUUAGAAUCCUCUGGUAAUGGUCCGACAACAGGCUUUACCUUCUUAUCUGCCGUUUUAUAUCUCGUCUCUACU